UUUCUUAAUUCAUAAUCUGAGUGUACAAUGAUAUAUAUACUGUAAUCUGCCUAAUGUAUAGAGUAACAGAAUUGAUCCUGAUCACACGGAUCAGCUCCGUGAAUUCAGGAGAGCUAACUAACUUCCAACUGACUCAGGUUUCGCGCCAUUAUUUGAAGAGCUGGUUCAUGCUUCUAAACGACACCGUUCUAGCUCAUCAAGCUUAAAUAACAAACACAGCUAAAACGGUGCGUCGCUCUUUAUAUUACAUAAAUGAAACGGUGCGUUGCA